CGGCGAGGUGGCCGCGGUGCUCCCUGCAGCCGGGACAGCGUCCCCUCUGCCGGGGGAUGGCUCUGGCGGGCUCCGGGCGCUCACGGGCUGGAGGAUGAGCCAAAGAUGGACAAAGCGGUUCCUUCCUUACGCUGUUGGGAUGCAUCCAACACCGUGGCCAGCACUUGCUGAAGGGGGAUCGGAGCAGCUCGAGCCCUCCCUCUGAGCAGGCUGGAUGGAGAAGCACAGGCUGUGAAUAUCCAGAUCUGGCACUGGUGAGUCUGGAGCUCUGCUGGUGCCACGAUGACACUGAUAGCACCUCUAAAAUGUGCCUCCAGGCACCGGCACCUGCCUCAGCCACCACUCAUCAUUCCCAUUAUCUGAGGAACUUUCUGCAAGGCCAGAGCUGGCCUGAAAGUGAUGGUGACCAGCAAAGGAAAAGGCAGAGGAACUGGGAUGUGGAGAGGGUUAAUUACAUCCAUCACUACUGUCAGGUUCCUGUAAAGUCAGGCUUCCAUCAGUACAAUCAAGAGUGAAAAAUACUGUCUGGCACAGGGGACCAAACCUCAGAAACACAAAAGAACCUACUGAAGGAGAGUGUGGAGAUGAGUGUGAGGGCAGAGAAGGAUAUUUUAUCAGCUAAGGAGAUUCUGCUUCAAUUUAAGUCUAAUAAAGCAUCAAUAAACUAAA